rnacentral:lncRNA from 1 species
UUGGUUGAUGAAGAUGAUGCACAAAAUAUUUAAGUAAGCAAAUAAUGAUAAAGCAACAAUGUUAUUACAUUAAUUAUCACGGAUGCCUAUGGAUGUUCUUGUGCUACGGUACAAACCAAAACAUUUCCAUCUAUACCUUGGGAUUGGAGAACCACGUUUAGUGAAAGAUGGUCAACAUAAACAUUAAAUACCAAACAACUUGAUACUGCAAAUCAAAUGUAUAAAUUUGUAAGUUGCAAAAAUGAGAUGCAAUAAACAAUGUAUUGCCAAUUUGGGGUAUUGUUUAUGAAAACUUGCAUCUGACAUAACAAAUAUACUGAGACCCAGAGGAUAAGGCGCGUCCAACUACAACUAUUUAACACACGAUACUGAUCAGCAUACUGCCAUGCGGACUGGGUAGGUCAUGUGCAAUUGGCGGAGGCAAACAGAUGCCCUAGCUCUGCAUUUGUUGGCCUGGAAAACCUUGCGGAGGUGGCAUUGAUGGAGGUCGAGCGCCAAGGGGAGCUGGAGGUGGAAGAGGCGGCAUUGCACCGGGUACAGGUCUUGGACCAUUUGCAGACAUAGGAGGUGGUGGAGGCAUUGAUCCUGACAUUGGAGGUGGAGGGGCUCGAGGAGGAUUUCCCAAAGGUGCGCCAGGAGGCAGCCCUUGGGGAGGAGGUGGUGGUGGUAAUGGAGCUUGUGAUGCUGGGGGCAUUGGCCUUGGAGGAACACCGGGUGCUGUGGUGCCAUUGGGAGUAGAUGCAGGUGGCUGUGGUUUGGUUACCUCUGGUGGUUUGAUUUUAAAAUACAACUGCAGCUGCAGACAUAGCAACAGUUCUGGAGUCAGUAGCUGCUAGUGGAAAUAAAAUAUCAACAAUGAAUGCAUGCAUGUCACAACCAAAAGGAACAAAGAGAAUGCAUGAAAGGAUGGAAAUACUUAUCGUAGUUCCACAAUUAACUGCUUGCUUGAAUCAUUAGUUUGCACAAGGGAAAACAAUUAAAAUGCAAAGAUUUUGAUAUAACCGGCCAAACU